GAUGAACGCUGGCGGCGUGCUUAACACAUGCAAGUCGAACGGGAAACUUUUCAUUGAAGCUUCGGCAGAUUUGGUCUGUUUCUAGUGGCGGACGGGUGAGUAACGCGUGGGUAACCUGCCUUAUACAGGGGGAUAACAACCAGAAAUGGUUGCUAAUACCGCAUAAGCGCACAGGACCGCAUGGUCCGGUGUGAAAAACUCCGGUGGUAUAAGAUGGACCCGCGUUGGAUUAGCUAGUUGGCAGGGUAACGGCCUACCAAGGCGACGAUCCAUAGCCGGCCUGAGAGGGUGAACGGCCACAUUGGGACUGAGACACGGCCCAGACUCCUACGGGAGGCAGCAGUGGGGAAUAUUGCACAAUGGGGGAAACCCUGAUGCAGCGACGCCGCGUGAAGGAAGAAGUAUCUCGGUAUGUAAACUUCUAUCAGCAGGGAAGAUAGUGACGGUACCUGACUAAGAAGCCCCGGCUAACUACGUGCCAGCAGCCGCCGUAACAC
rnacentral:rRNA from 1 species